rnacentral:rRNA from 1 species
GUAGUCAUAUGCUUGUCUCAAAGAUUAAGCCAUGCAUGUCUAAGUAUAAGCAAUUAUACAGCGAAACUGCGAAUGGCUCAUUAUAUAAGUUAUCGUUUAUUUGAUAGUACCUUACUACUUGGAUAACCGUGGUAAUUCUAGAGCUAAUACAUGCUAAAAAUCCCGACUUCGGAAGGGAUGUAUUUAUUAGAUUAAAAACCAAUGCCCUUCGGGGCUCACUGGUGAUUCAUGAUAACUCCUCGAAUCGCAUGGCCUUGUGCCGGCGAUGGUUCAUUCAAAUUUCUUCCCUAUCAACUUUCGAUGUUUGGGUAUUGGCCAAACAUGGUUGCAACGGGUAACGGAGGGUUAGGGCUCGACCCCGGAGAAGGAGCCUGAGAAACGGCUACUACAUCCAAGGAAGGCAGCAGGCGCGCAAAUUACCCAAUCCCGACACGGGGAGGUAGUGACAAUAAAUACUGAUACAGGGCUCUUUUGGGUCUUGUAAUUGGAAUGAGUACAAUUUAAAUCCCUUA